rnacentral:rRNA from 1 species
UACGAAGGGGGCGAGCGUUGUUCGGAUUUACUGGGCGUAAAGGGCGCGCAGGCGGCUUUUCAAGUCAGGCGUGAAAGCCCCGGGCUUAACCUGGGAACUGCGUCUGGGACUGAGAGGCUAGAGUUCGGGAGAGGAGAGUGGAAUUCCCAGUGUAGAGGUGAAAUUCGUAGAUAUUGGGGAAGAACACCGGUGGCGAAGGCGGCUCUCUGGACCGAUACUGACGCUGAGGUACGAAAAGCGUGGGGGAGCAAACAGG